AUUGAACGCUGGCGGCAUGCCUUACACAUGCAAGUCGAACGGUAACAGGUCUUCGGAUGCUGACGAGUGGCGCACGGGUGAGUAAUACAUCGGAACGUGCCCGAUCGUGGGGGAUAACGAGGCGAAAGCUUUGCUAAUACCGCAUACGAUCUACGGAUGAAAGCGGGGGAUCUUCGGACCUCGCGCGGACGGAGCGGCCGAUGGCAGAUUAGGUAGUUGGUGGGAUAAAAGCUUACCAAGCCGACGAUCUGUAGCUGGUCUGAGAGGAUGAUCAGCCACACUAGGACUGAGACACGGCCCAGACUCCUACGGGAGGCAGCAGUGGGGAAUUUUGGACAAUGGGCGAAAGCCUGAUCCAGCCAUGCCGCGUGCAGGAUGAAGGCCUUCGGGUUGUAAACUGCUUUUGUACGGAACGAAAAGCCUCUUUCUAAUAAAGAGGGGUCAUGACGGUACCGUAAGAAUAAGCACCGGCUAACUACGUG
rnacentral:rRNA from 1 species